rnacentral:rRNA from 1 species
GACGAACGCUGGCGGCGCGCUUAACACAUGCAAGUCGAACGGAAAGGCCCCCUUGUGGGGUCCUCGAGUGGCGAACGGGUGAGUAACACGUGAGUAACCUACCCUUGACUUUGGGAUAACUUCAGGAAACUGGGGCUAAUACCGGAUAGGAGCUCCUGCUGCAUGGUGGGGGUUGGAAAGUUUCGGCGGUUGGGGAUGGACUCGCGGCUUAUCAGCUUGUUGGUGGGGUAGUGGCUCACCAAGGCUUUGACGGGUAGCCGGCCUGAGAGGGUGACCGGCCACAUGGGGACUGAGAUCCGGCCCAGCCUCCGCGGGGGGGCGGCAGGGGGAAAUAUGGCAAAAGGGGGGGAGCCGUGAUGCAGCAACCCCGCGUGGGGGAGGAGGGCUUUGGGUUUGAAAACCGCUUUCGCCGGUGAGGAAGGGGGGGGAAGGUAAAGGGAUAAAAAACCACCGACAAACUAGGUG